GCGGCAGCACAGGAGAGCUUGCUCUCUGGGGCGAGCGGCGGACGGGUGAGGAAUACAUCGGAAUCUACCCAGUUGUGGGGGAUAACGUAGGGAAACUUACGCUAAUAGCGCAUACGACCUACGGGUGAAAGCAUGGGACCUUCGGGCCUUGCGCGAUUGGAUGAGCCGAUGUCGGAUUAGCUAGUUGGUGGGGUAAAGGCUCACCAAGGCGACGAUCCGUAGCUGGUCUGAGAGGAUGAUCAGCCACACUGGAACUGAGACACGGUCCAGACUCCUACGGGAGGCAGCAGUGGGGAAUAUUGGACAAUGGGCGCAUGCCUGAUCCAGCCAUGCGGCGUGUGUGAAGAAGGCCUUCGGGUUGUAAAGCACUUUUGUACGGGAAGAAACCUUCCGGGUUAAUGCCCGGUGAGAAUGACGGUACCGUAAGAAUAAGCACCGGCUCACUUGGUGCCAGCUGCCGCGGUAAUACGAAGGGUGCAAGCGUUACUCGGUUACUGGGCGUAAAGGUGCGUAGGUGGUUCGUUAAGUCUGCGU
rnacentral:rRNA from 1 species